AACGCUAGCUACAGGCUUAACACAUGCAAGUCGAGGGGCAGCAUGAACUUAGCUUGCUAAGUUUGAUGGCGACCGGCGCACGGGUGAGUAACACGUAUCCAACCUGCCGAUGACUCGGGGAUAGCCUUUCGAAAGAAAGAUUAAUACCCGAUGGCAUAGUUCUUCCGCAUGGUAGAACUAUUAAAGAAUUUCGGUCAUCGAUGGGGAUGCGUUCCAUUAGGUUGUUGGCGGGGUAACGGCCCACCAAGCCUUCGAUGGAUAGGGGUUCUGAGAGGAAGGUCCCCCACAUUGGAACUGAGACACGGUCCAAACUCCUACGGGAGGCAGCAGUGAGGAAUAUUGGUCAAUGGACGAGAGUCUGAACCAGCCAAGUAGCGUGAAGGAUGACUGCCCUAUGGGUUGUAAACUUCUUUUAUACGGGAAUAAAGUGAGGCACGUGUGCCUUUUUGUAUGUACCGUAUGAAUAAGGAUCGGCUAACUCCGUGCCAGCAGCCGCGGUAAUACGGAGGAUCCGAGCGUUAUCCGGAUUUAUUGGGUUUAAAGGGAGCGUAGGCGGACGCUUAAGUCAGUUGUGAAAUGUAGACGCUCAACGUCUGCACUGCAGCGCGAACUGGUUUCCUUGAGUACGCACAAAGUGGGCGGAAUUCGUGGUGUAGCGGUGAAAUGCUUAGAUAUCACGAAGAACUCCGAUUG
rnacentral:rRNA from 1 species